GUUGUUUCUUGGCCUUUUGGAUAAGAUCAAAUGUAGUAUCUAUUACCAGUUUAAUAUCUGAUACAUCCUCUAUCCAAGAACAAUGUAUUAAGUGAAUUUUUUGAGCUAGGAAUUGGAAUUAGAGCUUCUUUAGCCCAUUCCAUCAGUACCUCCA
ensembl:snRNA U2 U2 spliceosomal RNA